rnacentral:rRNA from 1 species
UUCCGGUUGAUCCUGCCGGACCCGACUGCUAUCAGAGUGGGACUAAGCCAUGCGAGUCAACAUAGCAAUAUGUGGCAUACGGCUCAGUAACACGUAGUCAACAUGCCCAGGGGACGUGGAUAACCUCGGGAAACUGAGGAUAAACCACGAUAGGUCAUCACUUCUGGAAUGGGUAAUGACUUAAAUCUAUAUGGCCCCUGGAUUGGACUGCGGCCGAUCAGGCUGUUGGUGAGGUAAUGGCCCACCAAACCUGUAACCGGUACGGGCUCUGAGAGGAGGAGCCCGGAGAUGGGCACUGAGACAAGGGCCCAGGCCCUAUGGGGCGCAGCAGGCGCGAAACCUCUGCAAUAGGCGAAAGCUUGACAGGGUUACUCUGAGUGAUUUCCGUUAAGGAGAUCUUUUGGCACCUCUAAAAAUGGUGCAGAAUAAGGGGUGGGCAAGUCUGGUGUCAGCCGCCGCGGUAAUACCAGCACCCCGAGUGGUCGGGACGUUUAUUGGGCCUAAAGCAUCCGUAGCCGGUUCUACAAGUCUUCCGUUAAAUCCACCUGCUUAACAGAUGGGCUGCGGAAGAUACUAUAGAGCUAGGAGGCGGGAGAGGCAAGCGGUACUCGAUGGGUAGGGGUAAAAUCCGUUGAUCCAUUGAAGACCACCAGUGGCGAAGGCGGCUUGCCAGAACGCGCUCGACGGUGAGGGAUGAAAGCUGGGGGAGCAAACCGGAUUAGAUACCCGGGUAGUCCCAGCUGUAAACGAUGCAGACUCGGUGAUGAGUUGGCUUAUUGCUAACUCAGUGCCGCAGGGAAGCCGUUAAGUUUGCCGCCUGGGGAGUACGGUCGCAAGACUGAAACUUAAAGGAAUUGGCGGGGGAGCA